GAGUAAGGCUCCGGUAAAGCAUCGCUAGAUACCAGAUGUUGGAGGUGGAAAUUGGUGUACAGUUAUAUAAUUUCUGCAUCGAAGCCGACGCCAAACGCAUUACGCACGCGGAGACAUCUCUGAGCGACGCGGAAAAAAGUGCGCGCGCGCUCCAAAAAUCCACCAGGAAAGACGAAGAAGACGAAAAUUUGGCCAUCGAAGGACAAAUGUAUGGUGCUGGGAUUGCAGACUAACGAUUCAAAAGUGCACCAGUGGUGCUGCGUGCCGCGGAGCCCUGCAAGCAAACAUGCCCCGGGAAGAUAGCUGUGGAGCCGCC
rnacentral:lncRNA from 1 species